AACGAACGCUGGCGGCAUGCCUAACACAUGCAAGUCGAACGAGACCUUCGGGUCUAGUGGCGCACGGGUGCGUAACGCGUGGGAACCUGCCCUUAGGUUCGGAAUAACUCCCCGAAAGGGGUGCUAAUACCGGAUAAUGUCUUCGGACCAAAGAUUUAUCGCCUUUGGAUGGGCCCGCGUUGGAUUAGCUAGUUGGUAGGGUAAAAGCCUACCAAGGCGACGAUCCAUAGCUGGUCUGAGAGGAUGAUCAGCCACACUGGGACUGAGACACGGCCCAGACUCCUACGGGAGGCAGCAGUGGGGAAUAUUGGACAGUGGGCGAAAGCCUGAUCCAGCAAUGCCGCGUGAGUGAUGAAGGCCUUAGGGUAGUAAAGCUCUUUUACCCGGGAUGAUAAUGACAGUACCGGGAGAAUAAGCUCCGGCUAACUCCGUG
rnacentral:rRNA from 1 species